GAUGAACGCUGACAGAAUGCUUAACACAUGCAAGUCUUUGGCGAAUCUGUGCUUGCACAGGCUAGCCAAGGCGGACGGGUGAGUAACGCGUAAAGAACUUGCCCUGCAGACAGGGAUAACAGACGGAAACGACUGAUAACACCUGAUACAGUUGCCGGCACGCAUGUGCCUGGCAAUGAAAAGAGAUGCUGCAGGAGAGCUUUGCGUCCUAUUAGCUUGUUGGUGAGGUGACGGCUCACCAAGGCGAUGAUAGGUAGCCGGCCUGAGAGGGUGAACGGCCACAAGGGGACUGAAAGACGGCCCUUACUCCUACGGGAGGCGGCAGUGGGGAAUAGUGGACAAUGGGGGCAACCCUGAUCCAGCAAUUCUGUGUGCACGAAGAAGGUUUUCGGAUUGUAAAGUGCUUUCAGCAGGGAAGAAGAAAGUGACGGUACCUGCAGAAGAAGCGACGGCUAAAUACGUG
rnacentral:rRNA from 1 species